CAGUAAUAUCUCCGUGUGGACUCCUCCUCCUGCCACCCUGCUAGGCCAGGGGCUCUGGACCCCUGGUCUCAUCAAGCACUGCCCCAUUUUCUAGGGGAAGAAGCUGAGGUCUGGAGGCCAAAAGAGAGAGAGAAAAGAAACAGUGUUUAGCAGACCUUGAGACUGACAUGAAAAGAAACGACAGAUAUUUUCCCAUUGCAUCAAGUUACUGCAGAUUCUGAAUGCCCAUCACUACUCUGAGACUGAAGGCCUUAUUACAGCUGCUGCUACAUCCUAUCGCUUCACAUGUCAAUUCAGUGAGGAAGAGCAUUUAGCUAAUGAUAUUCCAACUGGCAUCCUUUGCAAUCCUAUUUAAUGUUUCGCCUUAAAAAUCAUCAUUCCAGGCCAGGCAUGGUGGCUCAUGCCUGUAAUCCCAGCACUUUGGAAGGCUGAGGUGGACGGAUCACUUGAGGUCAGGAUUUCAAGACCAGCC
rnacentral:lncRNA from 10 species